GGCAGAUCUUCCGGGCGACUCACCCUAUGUAAGAAAUUGGAAAAUGCAACAAUAAAACAAGAAAAACUGAAAAAUGUGACAACUUUAAUCACGCAUGCUCUCAUACAAUCCAACCUAAACACACACAUCCCUUUAGUUGGAAAGUCACCGAAAGACAGCGAAGUGCAGAUCAUUCAUGGAAAGUCAUCAACCUUAUUUAAAAUGCUGGUGGUAUUAACACACAAGAAAGAGAACAAACAAAGGUUUGAGUUGCCCAGAUCAGCCACGAGGAGAGACCAGCGGGGGUAACUGGACAUCAGCCAAACGUGUCUCUCAACUGGACGAUGAAGUAAGUCUCUAUGUGGAGUGACUUGACCCCCAAGAAAGAGAAAACAAGAUUGCAAGGGAUCAGAAUUAGGGGGAUUGCAUUAUGGAGGUCUGCAUCCGGAGAACUAUACUGAGAUAUGAUGAUCAGGACCAAGGGAUGAAAGCAGUGUCAAGAGCAAUGUGUUGACUGGAAAACCUGGUUUAUCUAUAAUAUUUCCACUCCCAGCACACUGUACGCCCUAGAACAUUGUACCAGAAAUACUGAGCCUGUAUUGACAAAAUUACUUUGUAUUAGCUAAUUUUGUAUGUGGUCUAAUGUAAAUAUGCUCGGUGUACAUACAGAGAUAAACCAUAUUGUUAUAAUUAUAUAAGUCAAAUUAAAUUCUGAUGAAUUAAUGUCACAUAUUAUCAAGAUGCUG